CGGCUAACUUCGUGCCAGCAGCCGCGGUAAUACGAAGGGUGCAAGCGUUACUCGGAAUUACUGGGCGUAAAGAGCUCGUAGGCGGUUCAGCAAGUCGGCUGUGAAAGUCCGAGGCUCAACCUCGGAAUUGCAGUCGAUACUGCUGUGACUCGAGUCCGGUAGAGGAGAAUGGAAUUCUCGGUGUAGCGGUGAAAUGCGCAGAUAUCGAGAGGAACACCAGUAGCGAAGGCGGUUCUCUGGGCCGGCACUGACGCUGAGGAGCGAAAGCGUGGGGAGCAAAC
rnacentral:rRNA from 1 species